rnacentral:tRNA from 1 species
GGCUACGUAGCUCAGCUGGUUAGAGCGCAGCACUCAUAAUGCUGAUGUCACUAGUUCGAAUCUAGUCGUAGCCACCA